rnacentral:rRNA from 1 species
UACAGAGGUCUCAAGCGUUGUUCGGAUUCAUUGGGCGUAAAGGGUGUGUAGGUGGCGCGCUAAGUCGGGUGUGAAAUUUCGGAGCUUAACUCCGAAACUGCAUUCGAUACUGGCGUGCUUGAGGACUGGAGAGGAGACUGGAAUUCAUGGUGUAGCAGUGAAAUGCGUAGAGAUCAUGAGGAAGACCAGUGGCGAAGGCGGGUCUCUGGACAGUUCCUGACACUGAGACACGAAGGCUAGGGGAGCAAACGGA